GGCGCACCUGCCUUUCCCCCCCAGGGCAUGGCGCGCCGAAGGCCCCAGCUGCCCCCCCGGCUGGGGCCUUCACUU
rfam:Kytococcus sedentarius DSM 20547, complete genome.